ACGGCCUCUGCUGUGUAUCGCUCUGCGCCGCGAACAAGAGCCCUCCCCGCCGCGCAGAGCCCGGGCUGUUGAGUUCUGCAGAAGAUGACAAGUCGUGGCCUAUGGAGCAGCAGAACCGGAGGUGGUGUUUUCUCAUCCCGGGCAGGGGAGGUCAUGAGUCCGGUGUCAGAUCUCCCUGUCAGAUGGACGCUGCCCUUUUCAAAACAAAGAGAACGCGAAAAUAAACUUUCCCAGAACUGAUGAUGUGUCUCAGGACCCAACAGAUUUUUAAAUCACAGUUUGCAUUGAUCGGCUGCUCAUCGGUUAUGUCCUUCUAGAAAGAUCCUCCUUGCCGGAGCGAGCUGCUACCAGAAGAAGGUGAGGGAGGAGACUGCGAGGCGGCCGCGGAGGAGCGGGAGGAACCAGCAAACGCUUUGAACUGGUGUUCGGCGGCUGGAGCGGCGCGGGAAGGGCUGGGAGCCCCCGGCCCCCAGCCUGCUCAGCAGGGGGAAGGGCUGUCGCUUGUCCUCCACAACCUCGGCCACGGGAUGGGGCAGGCGAUGGAGGAGAUCCAGCCUGAAGCCCCCCAGCGUCCAGGACUCCUCUGCGAGAAGGAGAUGGCUUCUUCCGAUCCCAUCGGGAGGAACAAGCUCUUCAUCUCUAAACGCUUCCAGAAACGAGAGCAGAAGCAGGCAUUUCCAGGGAGGCAGGGUGCCAAAUACCAGAGGCACAACACUCCAUCUGUUGCUGUGGGUGGUCCAGUCGCCUCCUCUUCAUCUCUACAACAAGUUUGAUGGUGCAGCCGAGAGCUCUCAACUGAUUUCUUUGGCAGCUGCCUCUCCUUCCCCCCUUUGCAGAUUGGCUUUCUUUUUUCCAGGCUGCGUAAAGUGGAACAGCAGCGCAACGAGUCCUACCAGUUACUGGGAAAAUCUGCUCUAUCUGCCUCAUCAUUUUCCCCUUUCCUUUCUUAAUUAGGAAAGCACAAAGAGAUGAAAUGAUCUCCUUUCUGCUGCUAGGAGUAACGAACACAUGAUUAUAGUAGUACAUUAACUGUCCUACUUGGGGUUUGGGGUUUUUGGUUUUUUUUUCAUUUUACAGUAUUGCUCUGGCAUCCAAAUCUGCUCUCUAUCCAUCUGCUUUCUUCUUCGGAGACACAGGCAAAAGCCAUGACGAAGCAAACUUCUCUCUGCGCAGUUUACAACCACCAGAGCUGCCUUCCUCAAACUCCUGGCUCCGAUAGAAGCUGAUGUAAUUAAUCAAGGGCUCAUUCAUGCCUUUUACCUGAAUGCCUGCUUCCUAGGCAGACAGCCUGCAUUGGGACCUGUUGAUAUUGCCCAAAGUGAAAACUUUGGGGUUUUUUCUAGGUUUUUAACACCUGACAGCACCUCAGAUGCACGUUGCGAUGAACCAGGUGCUGUGUAAAACUCUUUGGGGCUGGGCUAAGCAGCUGCAUCACGACGGCUUGGUGGUGGUGACGACUCCCCAGAAGCCAAGGAUCUGUAGGCAACGCCUGCGGGACACUUAUUUCACGGGGUGGGGGUUUUUUUACCGAUAUUUAAAUUAUUUUUGCUAACUUUUGCGUAUCCACCAGAUUCUUAUAAAUCGUCCCAGUGGGAGAGAGGAGGCAAAGGGAGGAAAGAUCUCAGUGCUGUUCCACCUCCUGCUGCCGUGACCUCGGAGCGGGCAGGGCUGCCAACCUCUUGUCCUUCCUCCAAGUCUCCCGUGAGCUGCCCGUCGGUGCGGGAAGGUCUAGAGAAGAAAACCUGCAGAGAAGUGAAUCCCAGCGACCUUGAUCAUAUCAUCAAGUUCCCUCUGUAGGCGAUCUCUUUGUCUUCCCCUUGGCCAGAGGGAGAGCGCGGUAGUGCAGCAUUAGAAUAAAACGCCCCGAUGGAAUUCCGGCUGAAAUCUUCAGAUGCAGAGGCCACCAUCUCAUUAGAAAACUAAUGCUGCUGUUUAUCGUCUUGAUAGAGAAGAAAACAGUCCCUCGGGAUUUCUGAGAUGCAAAGAUGACCCACUGCUGCCAGCAGAAAGGUGGAAGUUCCCCUCAUGAUAACCGCAGUGGGGGCUUUGUUCAACUACUAGAAAAAUCCUUAGAAGAAAAAAAAAAAAAUGGUCAACAGGCUCCAUAAUAAGUUUCCUGGAACGAUCCUUCCGGAAAGACAAUCUGCACAAUUAGUGCUAUUUCAUAUUAAUCAUGCAAAAUCAGGCAACUUCAAGGCAAGUGGAAAACACAGGAAACAGGGAUAAAAUUUCUGUGUUUUCACAUAAUAAAAUAACUGAAUGCCACCAGGCAGGAGGGCUUCGGGUGGCUUCUGCACGUAGAUGACCAGAUGAGCUCGUUAACUUUAUUCCUCUGUUUCACGGGGAAUUUUACAGCCUUUCACGGGGAAUUUUACGACCUUUCACUGCCAGAAGUAAGGCCAGGAGGGGCGGUGGUUGUGCUUCACUGUCACGUGCAGUGACGGGACCUGGGACAUCUACAGACCUGGAUGAAGCGGCCUCAGCUGUGUGAGGGAUGCGGAGGAGCCUCCUAAGUCACAGGUCCCAGACUUGUUGGCCAAAAUUUGCGUUGUUUUUUUUUUUUUUUUCCCCAGGAAUUGCACAGUGUACACGCACGGGAACGCCCAGUGCCUUGCUGCUGCUUUGGGCACGGUGCUGGUCGGGUGGCAGCGGAACGCAGAGGGAGAAGGUGCUGAUGGGCACUGGGGAGCGUGCAGAAGGCGGGGGCCGGUGCUCUGACAGCACCCCCGGGCAAGGCCGGGGUGUUGGAGAGGGUAAAGCACCACUCCUGAGUGGAAGAGACGCCCCAGGUCAAACAGAAGCAACCGUGGCACGGACAGCGGUGGCUCCCGCAGCUCGGCACAGGUGCAGAACCUCACACCCGCUCUCUCCGGCGGUUCCACGCGUUGGUGCCCUCGUGCCCGUGCCGGAGCGAGGGGCAGGCGAGCUCCCAGACGCCGAGAUCUCAGAGACCCUCAGGCCCCCGGUGGGCCCGGGGUGCACAUCUGGUGCCUGUGUGGGAUGAGGGGCCGCCUCAAGGCGUUUCUGUCGGCAGUUAAAGCACAGGGAUGGCUCGGGGGGGGGCGGAGGAGCUGCAGCUUGGGGCCGUCAGCUCCGCAACCUGAGAAACGGCGACAACGCAGAAAACUUCACCCCGCGCCUUCAAAGCCUCCAAAUAAAACCCCAACGGUGUGGCACAAAAAGGCACUGGAGGAGAAAAGGGCUGGGCAAGGACGGGGCUCUGCCGGAGGGACCGGCACGUGGAGCCAGCCUAGAUGGAGGAGAUGGUCACCUUCCAGCAUCAGCACUCAGCGCCAUCCCCGCUGCCCUCGCCACCCCCUUCAGGGGCAGGAGCCAGCCCGAGGGCCCCACGCUGGGCCCAGCUGCUCUGGCCGAGCCGUGGCAGACAUGCCCGUUGCCGAUGGGGCGAGCGGGUCUCUCACGCAGGACCUGGCACGGGAGAGCGUGCGGCUGGAACCGGGCAGCGUCACCGGGGGCGACGGCACCCUGCUGUGCCCCCGGAGGACGAGGGUGAGAAUUCAGUCAUCCUUUAUUCCCCUCAAACCUCAGGCCCAUCCAUCGAUCGCAGCAGAGGAGCCGGCAGCGAUAACGACUCCGCAAGAACAAAGAGCACGGCCGAGCCGCAGAAGCAUCACCUGCCCUUGAGCUGCCGCACGCUGCCCGGCCGCGGGGAAGAGCGGUGUGGGGGCUAAUGAGCCAGAGAGGCAAUCAGGCAGAACCGGGCUGUGCCAGAGCAAACCCCCAUCUCACAGCAGAGCUGCCUGGGGGGCCCUGGGGUCCCGGGGUGGGGGGGGCGGCGUGGCGCGGGCAGGGCGUGUGCGACUCCCACUGUUCCGUGUGUCUGCUCCGCUCCAGGUACCAGGAGGAACCUCCGCAACGACCUGCUGGUCGCCGCCGAUUCCAUCACCAACACCAUGUCAUCGCUGGUGAAGGAGCUUCACUCAGCAGAGGAAGAAGAUGACGAAGAAACGGAAAAGAUGCGGAAUGGAAAAGACCAAGGUUAGACGACCUCAGGCUGCACAGCAGUUCAGGUAAGGGUGGAUGUAUUUUUUUUCCUUCCCAGCUCCAGCAGCUCUGCUCUGGACGUGCCGUUGCAAUCCACAGCACCGAGUCCCCGCUCACCUCCUGCCCCAGUCCCGUGUCCCCUAUUCCUGCACAGGGAGGGUUCCCCGCCUGCCCAUCGCGCCACGACCCUUCAAAAGCACGUUAGGUUUUUGCUUUUUUUUUUCCUUGUUAAGCCCCAAUUCUGCUCCUGCUGCAGACAGUGGGAAAAUGUCAUUAACUUCAGUGAGAAGAGCGUUAUCUCCUGGUUUAUGAGUAUUUCCUCUAUACUGAGAGGCCUCAGCCAGGAAAUAGGACCCUAUUGUGACGGACACUACCCAGAUGUACUAAAAAUACAAUCUCUACACUCAAAGAGCCUGCGCUUUAAGUUAUAAUAAGGCACAACAGAUGGGUAGACAAACAGGUGGUUGGAGGGCACGAGAUAGCGGUCAGGGAGAGAGCCGGAGCCCCGCCGCAACAAAGCCUCCGACGGGCCGGAGAGGGAUCCUUAUCUCCCCCAUCUAAAAAGCUGGUAGGAGGGCACCGAUCGGGUUUCCACACUCCCCGUACGCUCUCCGGAUAUUUGCCGAGGGCACAAUGCCCAUCUCUCACCAUUCCCAGUGGGAAGAAGGAGGGUUCUCCGGGCAGAAAAGCCUGGUGUUGACGCGCUCGCAAUUAGCCGGGAAGGGCUGGGGCCGGGCGCGGUGGGCAAACCUUCCUUCUGGAACCUCUGCCUUGAGGCGUUGGCUUGGUCGGUUGGAGAAAGCAAACAGGAGAAGGCCUUUCCUCUGUAACUAAGUCCAGACCCGGCCCACGGGGGGAGGUGGGCCAGUUGAGCGAGUCGCGAUGGAUCUGAAACGGGAUUUUCCGAGAUAAAGCCCCCCGCAGUUGUCCUCUGGAGGUAGUUUGCAAAGGAGAAUAAAAAAGGGGUUUUGCCCUUUCUUCCCUCCCCGCCGUUUUAGUGGUGGAUGGAGAUAACCUGAAAGUGGCUUGAGAGUUUUUUCUAAUAGUUUUUACAUUAGAAAUUCAAGUCCUGCCUCAUCUGGGAAACAAUCUGGUAACUCAAGAAGGAGUGAAAUUAUACCAUUAGAGAGGAAGCCAGCAAUGGAGAGCUGUUUAUACUGCUGUGCGUGGCUUUUUCUUAAUGUCCCUUUAACUCUAAUGGCUUUGGCGAAGAGGAUGGCUGUGACCCUGGUCGCCCCUUAGCCGCGGAUCUGCAGACGAGAAGCUCCCUGUUCCCCGAGCAGCCCGGCAGAGCCCCCAGCAGCACCCGGGGCCGGCGCUGGUGAGCGCUCAGUUAGAGACACUGAAAAAAUGAGAGAGAGAAACUACUUUCAGGUUUCUUUG